GGUGUCCCAUGCUGCUGUGUCAGAGGGAAGAUGAGCCACUGCUGAUCUUUACCCCAGCCCUGACCGGAGACCGACGCUGUUGCGGCAGGCACUCUUUGACAGCAGAUGGAUGAUGGCCCAGGCCAGCUGAGUCAGCCAGACUUCGGAGCAAGCAGUGUGAACCAAGACAGGGAUGGGAGCCAGCCGAGGAAAGUGAGCUUUCAGGGCCCAAGCCUUCUGCUGGCCUCCUUUCUGGAGAAAAGAAGGAAGAGAGGAGGCUGAGGACAUGAAGCUGAGACGCCUGCAGGCUGCACGCGGAGACCCUCGUGUUGCCAUCUCCUGCAGCAGCAGCGCAGAGUCAGAAGGGCCACCUACUGAGGUGUGGCUCUUCCAUCUUGAGGUCAUAGAGGAACUGAGGCAGGAGGAAGAGGGACCAGAAUGCCACAGGGAUCACCCAG
rnacentral:lncRNA from 1 species